CCUCCGGCGGUGAUGUCACUCCCCCCUCCGCAGCCUCUUGCUGCCCAGAGCUGCCGGGGCUGGGUCACCCCUCCCCCCAUCUCGAGCCCCGGAUUCCCCCAUCCCCAGCUCGCCUCGACUUGGGUCAAGAGUCGAGUCUACUUCCUCCCGGUCUGUGAACAUAGCUGAGUGUCCAGUAUUUGGAGCCCUCAUGAAGCUUCCAGAAGCCCCCUCCUCUCUAAUGGGGGGGUGGAGACUCCAGGCUCACAAAACCUCCCAUAGACCCUGGUGGUGUCUGUGGAGGGCCAUGAGGGAGUGCUGGCAUCCAAGUUUCCCAGGGCCUGAUGGAAUGUGGACGGACCAGCCUGCUACUCCCGGCCCGCUGCCUCUUCCCCUCCCAUGGCCUCUAAUCCUGAGUCUAAUCCUGAGUCGCAUCGCACAUUCCUCCUUAUUCCAGCCCCUUUUCCCCACAGCCCCCACCUUCUCCCACACUUCUGACCUCUGCAAAAAAACGCUGAUUUAGCCACUUGA